AGCUCCAAUAGCGUAUAUUAAUGUUGUUGUGGUUAAAAAGCUCGUAGUUGGAUCUCAACAGCCUUAGGGCGGUUUACUUGGUAGUUUUACUGCUCUGUAGGCUGUAGUUUUGCCAGAGGUUUUAGGGUGCUCUUGAUCGAGUGUCUCUGGAUGCCAGCAGGUUUACUUUGAAAAAAUUAGAGUGCUCAAAGCAGGCUAAAAUGCCUGAAUAUUCGUGCAUGGAAUAAUAGAAUAGGAUGUCGAUCCUAUUUUGUUGGUUUUCGGAAAUCGACAUAAUGAUAAAUAGGGACAGUCGGGGGCAUUUGUAUUCAAACGACAGAGGUGAAAUUCUUGGACCGUUUGAAGACAAACUACUGCGAAAGCAUUUGCCAAGAAUGUUUUCA
rnacentral:rRNA from 1 species